AGAGUUUGAUUAUGGCUCAGGACGAACGCUGGCGGCGUGCUUAACACAUGCAAGUCGAACGGAGCACCCUUGAAAGAGAUUUCGGUCAAUGGAUAGGAAUGCUUAGUGGCGGACUGGUGAGUAACGCGUGAGGAACCUGCCUUCCAGAGGGGGACAACAGUUGGAAACGACUGCUAAUACCGCAUGACACAUGACCGUGGCAUCACGGACAUGUCAAAGAUUUAUCGCUGGAAGAUGGCCUCGCGUCUGAUUAGCUGGUAGGCGGGGUAACGGCCCACCUAGGCGACGAUCAGUAGCCGGACUGAGAGGUUGACCGGCCACAUUGGGACUGAGAUACGGCCCAGACUCCUACGGGAGGCAGCAGUGGGGAAUAUUGGGCAAUGGGCGCAAGCCUGACCCAGCAACGCCGCGUGAAGGAAGAAGGCUUUCGGGUUGUAAACUUCUUUUAAGGGGGAAGAGGAGAAGACGGUACCCCUUGAAUAAGCCACGGCUAACUACGUGCCAGCAGCCGCGGUAAUACGUAGGUGGCAAGCGUUGUCCGGAUUUACUGGGUGUAAAGGGCGUG
rnacentral:rRNA from 1 species